rnacentral:rRNA from 1 species
AUACGUAGGGUGCAAGCGUUAAUCGGAAUUACUGGGCGUAAAGCGUGCGCAGGCGGUUUUGUAAGACAGAGGGGAAAUCCCCGGGCUCAACCUGGGAACUGCCUUUGUGACUGCAAGGCUAGAGUACGGCAGAGGGGGAUGGAAUUCCGCGUGUAGCAGUGAAAUGCGUAGAUAUGCGGAGGAACACCGAUGGCGAAGGCAAUCCCCUGGGCCUGUACUGACGCUCAUGCACGAAAGCGUGGGGAGCAAACAGGAUUAGAUACCCUGGUAGUCCACGCCCUAAACGAUGUCAACUGGUUGUUGGGUCUUCAUUGACUCAGUAACGAAGCUAACGCGUGAAGUUGACCGCCUGGGGAGUACGGCCGCAAGGUUGGAACUCAAAGGAAUUGACGGGG